CGGAUCACAACGGUGGAAAGAGCCACACACCAGAAACCAAGCGAUCUGCAGGACACUGAGGUAAUCACCCGAUCGAUGUGAGAGUCCCGAGUACCGCUAGGAAAAAGGAGCAACUCGUAGCAUCUGCCUGCCGAUCCCCCGACGAUAAAGGGAUUCCCGUCAACCCAGGAAAAGAAAGUCCAGAUAUGCUGGCAUUCAUACUAGGACUUUUAAUCCUACAUUCAGGAUGGUCAUCAGAACAAACUAUAUCACUCCGGAACCUAACUAACCAGCCAAUCCUAGCAUUCGACCAUGGAACUAGCAGAGUAAGAAUUGACUCAUAUUUUUAUAUCCAUCAUUUUAACAUAAGUUCAUAUCAAUACCAUGUACGAAACCUUAGAGACAUGUUUGACGAAAUAGCGACCAAUCAGUUUUCCAUAUUAAUUAUAGAAGAAUUUAAACAAAUCGAUCAAAUACUGAACAACCUUAUUUCAAUUAAAAGAUCAAAACGC